GUGAUAAUCAUAUCCUUAUCUACUGUCUGUCCCCAGGUUGCCCAUCCCACACAGGACCAAUACGGACAAUAAUUAUAGUCUUUAUUUAGGCAGUUUGGAUCUAUAUACUUAUGCUUAUUACUAGGACAAAUAUACUUAUCAUUAGACCCAUACGUUCUUUCCCAUUUAAUACCACCACAUACAUUCCAUGGCUUCCUACUACCUGAUAUCGCCUUACAUGCAUCAAAUAGCAAAACACCUGGAGAAUGUACGCUUUCUAGUACAGUCUUAUUUAUCAGGUUCCCCUGUGCGUUCUCAUUCCAAAUAGUCAACCAAAUUGUACGGGGCUGAUACUCAGGAUUAAAACACCUAGGUUCUCCUGCUCCUAUAUGGCAUACACUAUAAUCUGUACCUAGGUAUCUACACUUUGAUACAUGUCCUGUGCACUCAUAUUGCGAAUGCCAAAUAAGGGUCUGGGAAAUACGAUUGCCUGUUUUCGUAGUCUUAAUGCAAACCUCGCAGCCUGGUGUGUCGGUAC
rnacentral:lncRNA from 1 species